rnacentral:sRNA from 1 species
UGAGAAGAUCAGCGAGACGCUAUCGACAA